rnacentral:rRNA from 1 species
GACGAACCGUGCGAACGUUAUUCGGAAUCACUGGGCUUAAAGCGCGUGUAGGCGGGGUGGCACGUCGGUCGUUGAAAGCCCCCGGCUCAACCGGGGAAGGGGCGCCGAUACGACCACCCUGGAGGGACGUAGGGGGACCUGGAACUUCCGGUGGAGCGGUGAAAUGCGUUGAGAUCGGAAGGAACGCCCGUGGCGAAAGCGAGGUCCUGGACGCCUACUGACGCUGAGACGCGAAAGCCAGGGGAGCGAACGGG